rnacentral:rRNA from 1 species
GGCAUGGCUGGAUCAGGCUUUCGCCCAUUGUCCAAUAUUCCCCACUGCUGCCUCCCGUAGGAGUCUGGACCGUGUCUCAGUUCCAGUGUGACUGAUCAUCCUCUCAGACCAGUUACGGAUCGUCGCCUUGGUGAGCCAUUACCCCACCAACUAGCUAAUCCGACCUAGGCUCAUCUGAUAGCGCAAGGCCCGAAGGUCCCCUGCUUUCUCCCGUAGGACGUAUGCGGUAUUAGCGUUCCUUUCGAAACGUUGUCCCCCACUACCAGGCAGAUUCCUAGGCAUUACUCACCCGUCCGCCGCUGAAUCAAGGAGCAAGCUCCCGUCAUCCGCUCGACUUGCAUGUGUUAGGCCUGCCGCCAGCGUUCAAUCUGAGCCAGGAUCAAACCCUU